AAUCAAAACUUUGUCAUGUCACCGGUUGUUCGUUACAGAGACACUACUUCGUGGUUAUUUUGAUUAUCUAUGGAUAAUAUUUGUAGUGCAUGUUGUCAAAUUUGAUAUUUUAACCUAAGUAAAUUUUGUAAUUAAAUAACGUUUUUUGAGGGAUUUUAAUCAAUUAUUUUUUAUUUUACUUUACUAAUAAUAUGUAAUUCUCUUUUAGUAUUAGCAAGUUACGUUUCUUUUGUAAUGUAUGUGACAUAUUUCUCUUUGUUGGGUUUGUAUCAGCAUUGUAACAGCCCGUUUAUUUUAUCGAUUUAAUAGUAAUUGGUUUAACUUUUUUCGUAGGAUUUUGUUUCAUUAAGGAUUAAAAUAUGUUGGGUUUAUUGACCACUUAAUAACAAAAAUCAUCUGUAAUAUCCAGAAAAACAUUCGAGUGGUAGUUAUUUUGUGAAAUAAUUAUGAUUUAAUGUGAUUGCUGAUUAUAAACAAUAUUCAGUAUUGUAAACAAUUUCCUUAUAGAAGAGAAAUCCUUACAUGCCACUACUCUAGGAAUAUUUUCGACUGCAUAUUCGAUCUAUAAAAAAAGUACCUGGACGUAUUUGUUUUGGAGUUUUCUCUCAGUGUUUUGGGUUGUUGACUAUAGAAGUGAACACAACAGUGUUGUUAUUCCUUCAAAAUCAUGCACACUAUUCAGAAUAGUAGAAUUAACUUUUUUAUCUUUUCCUUAAAUUUAAAAUUAAUUUCUCUCUCAUUAAACGAAAAUUUUUAGGCAUCAGUAAUUACCAACUUAACGACGUAGUCUUUAUUUCUUCAUAAAUCAAUUUUUCCUUUAUUAAAGCAACUGAAAGUACCACAAUGUAACAAAAUAGUUUUGGGUGGAUACAAAUUAAAAUUAUGUGGCUGAAACUUACUCUUGAAUCCUCUUUAUGAAAACUGUCUAUAAUAUAAUUGAACUACAACUCGAAAAUUACUUUAAGAAUGUUUUUGGGGGCUUGUUACAGAAACAAAAUUGCCUUGCUAAAAUUGCGUUCAAUCAUUUGCUAAAGAAAUGUUCAUUGGUUCAAGAUCAUUUUUCCUUCUACAAGCUAGCUUUAUGAUUUAUGAAGAGUCUGCAAAUAAAACAAAUAUUAAUUGGUUUAAAAGAAA